UACGUAGGGGGCAAGCGUUGUCCGGAAUCAUUGGGCGUAAAGAGCGCGUAGGCGGCUCGGUAAGUCCGCUGUGAAAGUCCAGGGCUCAACCCUGGAAUGCCGGUGGAAACUGUCGAGCUAGAGUCCGGAAGAGGCGAGUGGAAUUCCUGGUGUAGCGGUGAAAUGCGCAGAUAUCAGGAGGAACACCGAUGGCGAAGGCAGCUCGCUGGGACGGUACUGACGCUGAGACGCGAAAGCGUGGGGAGCAAACAGG
rnacentral:rRNA from 1 species